rnacentral:tRNA from 1 species
GGUGUAAGGCGAACAUCGCUGCCCGGAAAGCAGGAGAUGCGGGUUCGAGUCCCGCCUGGCGCA